GUUUUGAGCCGUAUGGCUCUUUAUCAGACAUGAUGACCGUCUAUUGAAGAGUCACCUGUCACCUGUGUUUAUUUGGACAGUGCUGUGAUUUUUCUGGGAUCCUCAGUUGACUCAGCCUUUUAACCAGUCAACCGCAUGUGAAUAAGAUGACGCUAAUGGUCUACAUAGGACAUUUCGUCUUGGGAACAUCCGAAGUAGACGUGAAGGCAAGUUCUAGCAAGGUGACUCAGGGGGCUCAAACUCCAUCCCUCCCAAUGACCCCACGUUCCCACUGGACGAGUACAGUUGAUAAAGGACGUAAAGAUCAGCUCCCCCUUGGCCUUUAUAGAUUAACGAGUAUGAGCUGUCAGCACCUCUCAUCUCCAUUCCCAAUGAUUUACGUCAAGUUUAAUGAGCCUGCCAGGGCCAGAUAACACACUCACAAUGACUUCUGGGUCUGCUAUAU
rnacentral:lncRNA from 1 species